rnacentral:rRNA from 1 species
GACAGAGGUCCCGAGCGUUAGGCGGAAUCACUGGGCUUAAAGCGUGUGUAGGCGGAUCGUUAAGUACCUUGUGAAAUCCCACGGCUUAACCGUGGAACUGCUUGGUAUACUGGCGAUCUUGAGCCACUUAGGGGCUACCGGAACAAAUGGUGGAGCGGUGAAAUGCGUAGAUAUCAUUUGGAACGCCAAUGGUGAAAACAGGUAGCUGGGAGUGUGCUGACGCUGAUGCGCGAAAGCCAGGGGAGCGAACGGG